rnacentral:lncRNA from 1 species
AUUUGCCCCUUCAGCUGGUACUGAUAUCUACUUCAACUCUGAUGUAGCAAGUAACUCUUUUGACUGCUCUGAUUUUGGUUGGGGAGAGCCGUGUGCCAGGACUCCGGAGAUAUCAUCCGUUCUGUCAGCUGCUAUUGAAAGCAAUGAAUCUCAACUUGUUGAAGACGAUGCCAGUCCAAUGAAAAACCUGAAAUCAAGCCCCAUUAAUCCAGUAGCUAAUGAUGGAAAUACCGCGAACAAGCUGUCUGAAGAGCUUUCAGCUUUUGAAUCCCAGAUGAAGUUCCUUCAGAUCCCAUAUCUGGAGGGAAAUUGGGAUGCAUCAGUUGAUACUUUCCUCAACUCAAGUGCAACUCAGGAUGGUGAAAAUGCUAUGGACUUAUGGUC